rnacentral:tRNA from 1 species
AGGUAUAUAGCUCAGUGGCAGAGCACAUGUUUAGUAUGCACAAGGUCCUGAGUUCAAUCCCCAGUACCUCCA